rfam:Ipomoea nil DNA, scaffold: scaffold1317, cultivar: Tokyo-kokei standard.
GGGGAUGUAGCUCAGAUGGUAGAGCGCUCGCUUAGCAAGCGAGAGAUACGGGUAUCGAUAUCCCGCAUCUCCA